UAAGUAUUGAUGACGUGACAUUAUAAAUGAAUUUUAUAUCAAAAAUUAUUUAUGAAUAUUCAUGUAAUCAGGAUUUUAGAAGGGUAAAAUGGGAAUAAAAAAGACUUUCUUCUUCCUCCACACAUUUUGGCUUCUGCGUCUCAAAUUUCUAUGGCGUUUUAGUUCUUUGAAUUGGGAAUGCAGAAACCUUAAAGGUGGUUUCCCUUCCGAUUGAGUUUCUAGCUUGGAGGAGGUGUAUGGAGAUUGACAGUGGUUCUCUUGAUACUUUUUGAAGGUUUAUGUUGUGGCCAGAUUUGGGGAUUUUUGGGUUUUUCUGGUUUGGCUUUGCUGGUCCGAUUAUUUGUUGCCUUUUGUCCGGCAUAAACAAUCAGGUAAGGGAUUAGCAUAAAAGCUUUCUUCUGACCGGUUUAUCAAACAAGUGAACGAGGGCUUUGUUGUCUGGAGAUAUUGUUCUUCCACGUCCAAGAAAACGACGAUGACCCUAAACAGCCUUUGUCAUGUUUCCAGAAUAAGAAGCAUAUCCCGGAAAUCGCCAUUCAAGAUUUUUCUCUCAGUUUUCCUAAAAAGAUUACCCUGAAAUGUUGUCAACACUGCCAACGAAAGGUAUAAUAUGUGUAUUAAUGGGGUUGUUCUGAUAAUUUGAAGUUAUAGCUGUUUACUUUGACUGUCACAACAGGAUAUUCAAAUAAAUUCGAUCGUUUUUGUUUUUGGGAUC